rnacentral:lncRNA from 1 species
CAGGACCUUUGGAAAAGCAGUCAGUGCUCUUAACCAGUGAGCCAUUUCUCCAGCCCCCUUGAAAGUCUUAAUAUUAAUACCCCUUGUGUGUGUGUGUGUGUGUACGUGUGCAUGUGUGUACCCUGUCCUCAUCCCAAAUUGGGAGGUAUGAGUGAUUCUCCUGGUGGCUUCCUUAGUAUCAAAGCUAAGGUCCCAAUUUCGCUGUUGGAACAGCCUGGUCACAAGCGUGCAAGCAGGAGUAAAGAGGACGUGUUACAGUCUUGGCUCUUACUCCGUGUUUGUGCUUCCGUGGCAGGAAAGCCAGAUGCCUACAGAAUCCCCUAGGGAGUCACCAUGAAAAGGCUUACGGUAUUAGACCUCCCUAGGUUAUCUGCAGACAGCUCUUGGGAAAUAGCUGUUCUGGUUACGAUCUUAUUACUUAUGAGCCUGUCUUUCACUUCUUAAAUUAUAAACCAGCACCUGUCUCUGGCUUUGUAUUCUUAUGGGAGUCUCUAGUAUAGAGCCCUGCCCUGUCAGGGGGUGCCUAGGCUAGGGGGUCUAAUGCUUUUGUGUUCUUUCUGAUAGUACCCCCCUGAGGGCCUAGGAGGCAAGAGGAGAUGAAGGAAAGGCUGAAGAACUGGGUGUGCCCCAGAGGAUUUCACAGGACAGUGUCUUCUUGCGGGAUACACACUAGGAGCUAAACAUCUGUUGCCUGUACGAGAAUGAUAACUAGUCCACGAACAGCUUCCUGAUGCAUCCUGGGAGGUCUUGGCAGAGCCAUUCAGGGUCACCGUGUUAUCCAGAAAUGGCAG